CCUACGGGUGGCAGCAGUGGGGAAUAUUGGACAAUGGGGGCAACCCUGAUCCAGCCAUGCCGCGUGUGUGAAGAAGGCCCUCGGGUUGUAAAGCACUUUCAGUGAGGAAGAACGCCUGGUGGUUAAUACCCAUCAGGAAAGACAUCACUCACAGAAGAAGCACCGGCUAACUCCGUGCCAGCAGCCGCGGUAAUACGGAGGGUGCGAGCGUUAAUCGGAAUUACUGGGCGUAAAGCGCGCGUAGGUGGCUUGAUAAGCCGGUUGUGAAAGCCCCGGGCUCAACCUGGGAACGGCAUCCGGAACUGUCAAGCUAGAGUGCAGGAGAGGAAGGUAGAAUUCCCGGUGUAGCGGGGAAAUGCGUAGAGAUCGGGAGGAAUACCAGUGGCGAAGGCGGCCUUCUGGACUGACACUGACACUGAGGUGCGAAAGCGUGGGUAGCAAACAGGAUUAGAUACCCCAGUAGUC
rnacentral:rRNA from 1 species